rnacentral:rRNA from 1 species
AGAGUUUGAUCCUGGCUCAGAUUGAACGCUGGCGGCAUGGCUAAAACAUGCAAGUCGAACGAGAAAGUCACUUCGGUGGCGAGUACAGUGGCGAAAGGGCGAGGAAUAUAUUCCUACGUACCCUCUGGUUAAGGAUAGCCCAGGGAAACUUGGAUUAAUACUUAAUGUGGUCUCCGGAUCAAAGAUUUAUUGCCAGAGGAGCGGGGAAUACCCUAUCAGGUUGUUGGUGGGGUAAAGGCCUACCAAGCCUAAGACGGGUAGCGGGUGUGAGAGCAUGACCCGCCGCAUCGGGACUGAGACACUGCCCGGACUCCUACGGGAGGCUGCAGUAACGAAUAUUCCGCAAUGCGCGAAAGCGUGACGGAGCAAUGCCGCGUGCAGGAUGAAGCCUUAUGGGGUGUAAACUGCUGUCAGAGUAUAGGAAAAAAAUGACCACACUCAAAGGAAGGGCCGGCUAACUUCGUGCCAGCAGCCGCGGUAAUACGAAGGGCCCGAGCGUUAAUCGGAAUUAUUGGGCUUAAAGAGUACGUAGGCUGAUAUGUAGGUAUCUUGUGAAAUCCCACCGCUCAACGGUGGAACUGCUUGGUAAACCGCAUAUCUAGAGACAGGUAGAGGUUGUCGGAACGAUAGG